CGGACGGGUGAGUAAUGCUUGGGAAUCUAGCUUAUGGAGGGGGAUAACUACGGGAAACUGUAGCUAAUACCGCGUAAUAUCGAAAGAUUAAAGUGUGGGACCUUCGGGCCACAUGCCAUAGGAUGAGCCCAAGUGGGAUUAGGUAGUUGGUGAGGUAAAGGCUCACCAAGCCGACGACCUCUAGCUGGUCUGAGAGGAUGACCAGCCACACUGGGACUGAGACACGGCCCAG
rnacentral:rRNA from 1 species